CUCUGCUACAUAUGUCACCGGAGCCAUGGACCCAUGCAUAUUCUUUGGUUGGUGGUUUAUUUCCUGGGAGCUCAGGGGGGACUGAUUAAUGAUAUUAUUGUUCUUCCUAUGGAGUUGCAAUCCCUUUCAGCUCCUUCAGCCCUUCCCUCAAUUUUUCCAUUGGAGUCCUGGGCUCAUUCUGGACAAAAAAUGGGGCAGAGACUAAAGGAAAGGCCAUCCAGAGACUGCCCUACCUUGGAAUCUAUCCCAUCUGAAGACACCAAACUCCAGCACUAUUGCGGAUGCCAAGAGACCAGGGCUUGGACUUGGCUGUGUUCCUCUGCUGAAGGUUACAGCUACUGCUGCACAGCUGUCUUUGUACAGAUCUCCCCAGAUAAAGCCACAAUGUAAGGUUCCAGGUGGCCACACUUAUUUGGAGACACCAUUUAACACGGUUCUGCUUCUACUUCCAUGAGAACCUAGUGAAGAAGACACAGCCAGAGCUUUGAUCAAAGAUUCCAAAUGCAAAUACAACUAACCACCCAACUGGUCCCAUCAGCCAAUGUAUCUCUUUGUUACCUCAAGGGAGAUUGAUUUACGCUUUCA
rnacentral:lncRNA from 1 species